CCUACGGGAGGCAGCAGUGGGGAAUAUUGGGCAAUGGGCGCAAACCUGACCCAGCAACGCCGCGUGAAGGAAGAAGGCUUUCGGGUUGUAAACUUCUUUUGACAGGGAAGAGUAGAAGACGGUACCUGUCGAAUAAGCCACGGCUAACUACGUGCCAGCAGCCGCGGUAAUACGUAGGUGGCAAGCGUUGUCCGGAUUUACGGGGUGUAAAGGGCGUGUAGCCGGGUUGACAAGUCAGAUGUGAAAUCCUGGGGCUUAACCGCAGAACUGCAUUUGAAACUGUUGAGCUAGAGUACUGGAGAGGCAGACGGAAUUCCUGGUGUAGCGGUGAAAUGCGUAGAUAUUAGGAGGAACACCAGUGGCGAAGGCGGUCUGCUGGACAGCAACUGACGGUGAGGCGCGAAAGCGUGGGGAGCAAACAGGAUUAGAUACCCCUGUAGUC
rnacentral:rRNA from 1 species